rnacentral:rRNA from 1 species
GACGUAGGGGGCCAGCGUUGUUCGGAAUUACUGGGCGUAAAGGGCUCGUAGGCGGCCAACUAAGUCAGACGUGAAAUCCCCAGGCUCAACCUGGGAACUGCGUCUGAUACUGGAUGGCUUGAAUCCGGGAGAGGGAUGCAGAAUUCCAGGUGUAGCGGUGAAAUGCGUAGAUAUCUGGAGGAAUACCGGUGGCGAAGGCGGCAUCCUGGACCGGCAUUGACGCUGAGGAGCGAAAGCCAGGGGAGCAAACGGG